GCUGGGCAUGGUGGUGCAUGCCUGUAAUCCCAGCUACUCAGGAGGCUGAGGCAGGAGAAUUGCCUGAACCCAGGAGGUGGAAGUUGCGGUGAGCCGAGAUCGUGCCAUUGCAACUCCAGCCUGGGUAACAAGAGCAAAACUCUGUCUCAA
ensembl:misc_RNA Metazoa_SRP Metazoan signal recognition particle RNA